GAUGAACGCUGGCGGCGUGCCUAGUACAUGCAAGUCGAGCGAAUGGAUUAAGAGCUUGCUCUUAUGAAGUUAGCGGCGGACGGGUGAGUAACACGUGGGUAACCUGCCCAUAAGACUGGGAUAACUCCGGGAAACCGGGGCUAAUACCGGAUAACAUUUUGAACCGCAUGGUUCGAAAUUGAAAGGCGGCUUCGGCUGUCACUUAUGGAUGGACCCGCGUCGCAUUAGCUAGUUGGUGAGGUAACGGCUCACCAAGGCAACGAUGCGUAGCCGACCUGAGAGGGUGAUCGGCCACACUGGGACUGAGACACGACCCAGACUCCUACGGGAGGCAGCAGUAGGGAAUCGUCCGCAAUGGACGAAAGUCUGACGGAGCAACGCCGCGUGAGUGAUGAAGGCUUUCGGGUCGUAAAACUCUGUUGUUAGGGAAGAACAAGUGCUAGUUGAAUAAGCUGGCACCUUGACGGUACCUAACCAGAAAGCCACGGCUAACUACGUGCCAGCCGCCGCAGUAA
rnacentral:rRNA from 1 species